rnacentral:rRNA from 1 species
AUUGAACGCUAGCGGGAUGCCUUACACAUGCAAGUCGAACGGAGUGGCGACCGGGUGAGUAAUGUAUCGGAACGUGCCCCGUCGCGGGGGAUAACUACGCGAAAUCGUAGCUAAUACCGCAUACUAUUGGAGCGGCCGAUAUCGGAUUAGCUAGGUGGUGGGGUAACGGCUCACCAAGGCGACGAUCCGUAGCUGGUUUGAGAGGACGACCAGCCACAAUGGGACUGAGACACGGCCCAGACUCCUACGGGAGGCAGCAGUGGGGAAUUUUGGACAAUGGGGGAAACCCUGAUCCAGCCAUGCCGCGUGUGUGAUGAAGGCCUUCGGGUUGUAAAGCACUUUCGGCAGGAAAGCGGUACCUGCAGAAGAAGCACCGGCUAACUACGUGCCAGCAGCCGCGGUAAUAC